CAGCCGCCACGGGAAUACAGAGGGUGCGAGCGUUAAUCGGAUUUACUGGGCGUAAAGCGUGCGUAGGCGGCUUUUUAAGUCGGAUGUGAAAUCCCUGAGCUUAACUUAGGAAUUGCAUUCGAUACUGGGAAGCUAGAGUAUGGGAGAGGAUGGUAGAAUUCCAGGUGUAGCGGUGAAAUGCGUAGAGAUCUGGAGGAAUACCGAUGGCGAAGGCAGCCAUCUGGCCUAAUACUGACGCUGAGGUACGAAAGCAUGGGGAGCAAACAGGAUUAGAUACCCGUGUAGUCCCUGUCUCUUAUAA
rnacentral:rRNA from 1 species